GGCGGAUAAAAAGUGGGUGAUCCUAUGCUGCCAAGAAAAGCAUCGACGCGAGGUUCAAGCCGCCCGUACCCCAAACCGACUCAGGUGGUCAGGUAGAGAAUACUAAGGAGAUCGAGAGAAUCGUGGUUAAGGAACUCGGCAAAAUGCCCCCGUAACUUCGGGAGAAGGGGGGCCACCCGCUUAUACGGACUUGCUCCGGAAAGGGUGUGGUGGCCGCAGAGACUAGUGGGUAGCGACUGUUUACUAAAAACACAGGUCCGUGCCAAGUCGCAAGACGAUGUAUACGGACUGACGCCUGCCCGGUGCUGGAAGGUUAAGAGGACCGGUUAGCCGCAAGGCGAAGCUGAGAAUUUAAGCCCCAGUAAACGGCGGUGGUAACUAUAACCAUCCUAAGGUAGCGAAAUUCCUUGUCGGGUAAGUUCCGACCUGCACGAAUGGCGUAACGACUUCCCAACUGUCUCAACCGCGAACUCGGCGAAAUUGCAUUACGAGUAAAGAUGCUCGUUACGCGCAGCAGGACGGAAAGACCCCGUGACCUUUACUAUAGCUUUGUAUUGGUGUUCGGUGUGGCUUGUGUAGGAUAGGUGGGAGACUUUGAAGCGUGGACGCCAGUUCAUGUGGAGUCAUUGUUGAAAUACCACUCUGGUCACUCUGGAUAUCUAACUUCGAACCGUGAUCCGGUUCAGGGACAGUGCUUGGUGGGUAGUUUAACUGGGGCGGUUGCCUCCCAAAAAGUAACGGAGGCGCCCAAAGGUUCCCUCAACCUGGUUGGCAAUCAGGUGUCGAGUGUAAGUGCACAAGGGAGCUUGACUGUGAGACUGACAGGUCGAGCAGGGACGAAAGUCGGGACUAGUGAUCCGGCAGUGGCUUGUGGAAGCGCUGUCGCUCAACGGAUAAAAGGUACCUCGGGGAUAACAGGCUGAUCUUGCCCAAGAGUCCAUAUCGACGGCAUGGUUUGGCACCUCGAUGUCGGCUCGUCGCAUCCUGGGGCUGGAGUAGGUCCAAGGGUUGGGCUGUUCGCCCAUUAAAGCGGUACGCGAGCUGGGUUUAGAACGUCGUGAGACAGUUCGGUCCCUAUCCGCUGCGCGCGUAGGAAGUUUGAGAGGAUCUGACCCUAGUACGAGAGGACCGGGUUGGACGAACCUCUGGUGUGCCAGUUGUUCCGCCAGGAGCACCGCUGGUUAGCUACGUUCGGGAUGGAUAACCGCUGAAAGCAUCUAAGCGGGAAGCCGGCCUCAAGAUGAGACUUCCAUACCUUCGGGUGAGAGGCUCCCAGCCAGACUACUGGGUUGAUAGGCCAGAUGUGUAAGCACGGCAACGUGUGCAGCUGACUGGUACUAAUAAGCCGAUGACUUGCU
rnacentral:rRNA from 1 species